rnacentral:rRNA from 1 species
UGCGUGAAGUUGGAAUCGCUAGUAAUCGCGGAUCAGCAUGCCGCGGUGAAUACGUUCCCGGGCCUUGUACACACCGCCCGUCACACCAUGGGAGUCGGUAACACCCGAAGCCUGUAGUCUAACCGCAAGGGGGACGCAGUCGAAGGUGGGAUUGAUGACUGGGGUGAAGUCGUAACAAGGUACC